rnacentral:rRNA from 1 species
CCUACGGGGGGCAGCAGUGGGGGAUAUUGCACAAUGGGGGGAACCCUGAUGCAGCGACGCCGCGUGGGUGAAGGAGUGCUUCGGCAUGUAAAGCCCUAUCGGCAGGGAAGAAGCAAGACGAUACCUGACUAAGAAGCCCCGGCUAACUACGUGCCAGCAGCCGCGGUAAUACGUAGGGGGCGAGCGUUAUCCGGAUUCACUGGGUGUAAAGGGAGCGUAGACGGCCAUGCAAGCCAGGGGUGAAAGCCCGGGGCCCAACCCCGGGACUGCCCUUGGAACUGUGCGGCUAGAGUGCGGGAGGGGCAGGCGGAAGUCCUGGUGUAGCGGUGAAAUGCGUAGAUAUCAGGAGGAACACCGGCGGCGAAGGCGGCCUGCUGGACUGCGACUGACGUUGAGGCUCGAAAGCGUGGGGAGCGAACAGGAUUAGAUACCCGGGUAGUC